rnacentral:misc_RNA from 1 species
GUUCUCUGUCUAGAUCUCUCUCACAAGCUUCUUGUUAUGGUUAUUUAUUGUUCACAAGUUUCUUUAAUAUCCUUUUGUGCUUCUGUAUGUGUCGUUCUUGCAUGGAAAACCCAUGAAUCAUUCUUUGUUCGCCCUUUAAAAUCAUAGGGAGUAAACAAAGAGAAUUAUUGGUCACCCAAAGAGGUGUUUCAGAGCACGAGAGCUGCUGUUUCAACUGUGUAACAAUGUGAUAUAGCUAGCUAGCUAGCUAUAGUUUGGCCACAAACAUGCGUAAGUGUUCCCACG